CGCGUAGGUGGCCUGGUAAGUAGGGGGUGAAAUCUCGAGGCUCAAUUUCGAGGCUGCCUCCUAAACUGUCAGGCUCGAGCAGAGUAGAGGCAGGUGGAAUUCCCGGUGUAGCGGUGGAAUGCGUAGAGAUCGGGAAGAACAUCGGUGGCGAAGGCGGCCUGCUGGGCUCUUGCUGACACUGAUGCGCGACAGCGGUGGGGAGACAAACA
rnacentral:rRNA from 1 species